CCUACGGGCGGCAGCAGUGGGGAAUAUUGGACAAUGGGCGAAACCCUGAUCCAGCGACGCCGCGUGAGUGAAGAAGUAUUUCGGUACGUAAAGCUCUAUCAGCAGGAAAGAAAAUGACGGUACCUGACUAAGAAGCCCCGGCUAACUACGUGCCAGCAGCCGCGGUAAUACGUAGGGGGCAAGCGUUAUCCGGAUUUACUGGGUGGAAAGGGAGCGUAGACGGCAGCGCAAGUCUGGAGUGAAAUGCCGGGGCCCAACCCCGGAACUGCUCUGGAAACUAUGAAGCUGGAGUGCAGGAGAGGUAAGCGGAAUUCCUGGUGUAGCGGUGAAAUGCGUAGAUAUCAGGAGGAACACCAGCGGCGAAGGCGGCUUACUGGACUGUAACUGACGUUGAGGCGCGAAGGCGUGGGGAGCAAACAGGAUUAGAUACCCGUGUAGUC
rnacentral:rRNA from 1 species